rnacentral:rRNA from 1 species
GCACCAGGCGCGAAAACUUUACAAUGCUGGCAACAGCGAUAAGGGGACCUCGAGUGCCAGGAUACAAUCUUGGCUGUCGCGAUGCCUAAAAAGCAUUGCAUAGCAAGGGCCGGGCAAGACCGGUGCCAGCCGCCGCGGUAACACCGGCGGCUCGAGUGGUAACCGCUAUUAUUGGGUCUAAAGGGUCUGUAGCCGGCCGGAUAAGUCCUUUGGGAAAUCCAGCUGCUCAACAGUUGGGCUUUCAGAAGAUACUGUUCGGCUCGAGACCGGGAGAGGUGAGAGGUACUUCAGGGGUAGGGGUGAAAUCUUGUAAUCCUUGAAGGACCACCAGUGGCGAAGGCGUCUCACCAGAACGGAUCUGACGGCAAGGGACGAAAGCUAGGGGCACGAACCGGAUUAGAUACCCGGGUAGUCCUAGCCGUAAACGAUACUCGCUAGGUGUCAGCCACGGUGCGACCGUGGUUGGUGCCGUAGGGAAGCCGUGAAGCGAGCCACCUGGGAAGUACGGCCGCAAGGCUGAAACUUAAAGGAAUUGGCGGGGGAGCACAAGGGCGAAUUCGCG